rnacentral:rRNA from 1 species
UACGUAGGGGGCAAGCGUUGUCCGGAAUCAUUGGGCGUAAAGAGCGUGUAGGCGGCUCGGUAAGUCCGCUGUGAAAGUCCGGGGCUCAACCCUGGAAUGCCGGUGGAAACUGUCGAGCUAGAGUCCGGAAGAGGCGAGUGGAAUUCCUGGUGUAGCGGUGAAAGUGCGCAGAUAUCAGGAGGAACACCAUGGGCGAAGGCAGCUCGCUGGGACGGUACUGACGCUGAGACGCGAAAGCGUGGGGAGCAAACAGG